UACGUAGGUGGCAAGCGUUGUCCGGAUUUACUGGGCGUAAAGAGCGCGCAGGCGGUCGUUCAAGUCGAGUGUGAAAGCCCCCGGCUCAACUGGGGAGGGUCAUUCGAUACUGAUCGACUCGAAGGCAGGAGAGGGUAGUGGAAUUCCCGGUGUAGUGGUGAAAUGCGCAGAUAUCGGGAGGAACACCUAUGGCGAAGGCAGCUCGCUGGGACGUUACUGACGCUGAGGAGCGAAAGCGUGGGGAGCGAACAGG
rnacentral:rRNA from 1 species